CAGUCGCCACGGUAACACGGAGGGUGCAAGCGUUAAUCGGAAUUACUGGGCGUAAAGCGCACGCAGGCGGUCUGACAAGUCAGAUGUGAAAUCCCCGGGCUUAACCUGGGAACUGCAUUUGAAACUGUCAGGCUGGAGUCUUGUAGAGGGGGGUGGAAUUCCAGGUGUAGCGGUGAAAUGCGUAGAGAUCUGGAGGAAUACCGGUGGCGAAGGCGGCCCCCUGGACAAAGACUGACGCUCAGGUGCGAAAGCGUGGGGAGCAAACAGGAUUAGAUACCCGUGUAGUCCCUGUCUCUUAUAC
rnacentral:rRNA from 1 species